UCCUGGCUGGCUUAGUCCGUAAAAGCAUGAGACUCUUGAUCUUGGGGUCAUGAGUUCAAGCCCCAUGUUGGGCC
rnacentral:tRNA from 1 species